rnacentral:rRNA from 1 species
AUUGAACGCUGGCGGCAGGCUUAACACAUGCAAGUCGAGCGGAGAUGAGGUGCUUGCACCUUAUCUUAGCGGCGGACGGGUGAGUAAUGCUUAGGAAUCUGCCUAUUAGUGGGGGACAACAUUCCGAAAGGAAUGCUAAUACCGCAUACGUCCUAUGGGAGAAAGCAGGGGAUCUUCGGACCUUGCGCUAAUAGAUGAGCCUAAGUCGGAUUAGCUAGUUGGUGGGGUAAAGGCCUACCAAGGCGACGAUCUGUAGCGGGUCUGAGAGGAUGAUCCGCCAAACUGGGACUGGGACACGGCCCAGACUCCUACGGGAGGCAGCAGUGGGGAAUAUUGGACAAUGGGCGGAAGCCUGAUCCAGCCAUGCCGCGUGUGUGAAGAAGGCCUUUUGGUUGUAAAGCACUUUAAGCGAGGAGGAGGCUACCUAGAUUAAUACUCUGGGAUAGUGGACGUUACUCGCAGAAUAAGCACCGGCUAACUCUGUGCCAGCAGCCGCGGUAACAC